UUGAGGUGUGUAAGCAACAGU
rnacentral:siRNA from 1 species